GACGUCGAUAUUCGACGUCAUAAACACGAUCAAGUUAGGUGUUUAUGACGUCGACAUUCGACGUCAGAAACACGUUCAAUUUUGGUGGACAACUUUGGCUGGAAAAAAUGAAUAUUUUUUUGAAAGUUCGUCGAUAUUCGACGUCAUAGACACGAUCAACUUAGAUGUUUAUGACGUCGAUAUUCGACGUC